AUUGAACGCUGGCGGCAGGCCUAACACAUGCAAGUCGAGCGGGGUUUUCGGACCUAGCGGCGGACGGGUGAGUAACACGUGAGCAACCUGCCCCUGACUCUGGGAUAAGCGCUGGAAACGGCGUCUAAUACUGGAUACGAGACGUGACCGCAUGGUCAACGUUUGGAAAGAUUUUUCGGUUGGGGAUGGGCUCGCGGCCU
rnacentral:rRNA from 1 species